AAUUCAAGAACGUUGAAAAGGAAAAAGAAAUACUUGACACAUUUCGAAAGGUUGAGGUAAAUAUUCCUUUACUUGAUGCUAUUAAACAAAUUCCUCGAUAUGCUAAAUUUCUUAAAGAGUUGUGCACAAAUAAAAGAAAAUUG